rnacentral:rRNA from 1 species
AGGAUGAACGCUGGCGGCGUGCUUAACACAUGCAAGUCGAACGGUGAAAGAAGAGCUUGCUCUUCUGGAUCAGUGGCGAACGGGUGAGUAACACGUGAGUAACCUGCCCUUGACUCUGGGAUAAGCACUGGAAACGGUGUCUAAUACCGGAUACGACCUCCGAAGGCAUCUUCUGGAAGUGGAAAGAAUUUCGGUCAAGGAUGGACUCGCGGCCUAUCAGCUAGUUGGUGAGGUAACGGCCCACCAAGGCGACGACGGGUAGCCGGCCUGAGAGGGUGACCGGCCACACUGGGACUGAGACACGGCCCAGACUCCUACGGGAGGCAGCAGUGGGGAAUAUUGCACAAUGGGCGCAAGCCUGAUGCAGCAACGCCGCGUGAGGGACGACGGCCUUCGGGUUGUAAACCUCUUUUAGUAGGGUAAGAAGCGAAAGUGACGGUACCUGCAGAAAAGCACCGGCUAACUACGUGCCAGCAGCCGCGGU